GGUACAGCACAUUUCUGACUGUGGGAAUAUAAAGUCUCGGAUCAUACGAAGAAUUCAAAAAAUUUUAUUGCGCAUUCGCCCAUGUGAAGCUGGAAGAUUCCAUAAUUAUUUCAAAAAUGUUUGGAUGCCUACAACAUGCAAGCAGGAAGAUUCGCUGUAAUUGUAAUCGAUAAUUAUUGGAUUGUAGUCAUCAGUUUAAGUAAGCUACACUGAUUCAAUUUUAUAAAUACUUGUAUUAGGUAUUUUGCUAUACAUAAUAUUUAUUUUGUAAUAAUAUUUAUGUUUUGUUAUGUAUUUGGUCUCAUUUAGCAUCAAAUAUACCUACUCGAAAACAACUAAAAUGAGCAAAUAUGAACUUUUUCAGAAUUGAGCAUUUUAACCGAAUGAAAGCAAAAUACGUAGCGUGUACGAAUAGUCGAUUAUCACUAAUUAGGCAUCGCUGAUCACGCAAAUCUCGUUAAUUUUAAUCGAUCGAGCUUUUUUCUACCUGAAAGUUCAAAUUUUUUGAAAAAAAGCUUCAUUUUGGAGGAAACUUUGAGCUUUUGGGACAAACCAACACCGGAAACAAGUUCUCCGCACCCAAAAACCCCCCUAUUCGUACAGUUCGUAUAGUCUAAAAAGCUCUCUAAACCUCAAAAAAUUGAUUAAAAAGUUCAAGUAUUAGGAGUAUCGAACCUCCUAAUAUCCUAUAUUCUCCUAAUGAAAUUGGUCUUAUUUAGCAUCAAAUAUACUCAAAAAUGACUAAAAUGAGCAAAUAUGAAUUUUUUCAAAAUUGAGCUUUUGGGCCGAAUCAAAGUCAAAUAACUUGUACGAAUAGUCGAUUAUCAAUGAUUAAGCAUCGCUGAUCACGUCAAGUUCAUUUAUUUUGAUCGUUCGAGCUUAUUUGUACCUGAAAGUUCAAUUGUUUCGAAAAAAGCUUCAUUUCACAAGAAACUUUGAGCUUUUUGGUAGUACCAACACCGGAAACGAAUUCUCCGUACCCAAAAACCCCCCUAUUCGUACUGUUCGUAUAGUCUAAAAAGCUCCCUAAAGCUCAAAAAAUUGAUUCAAAAGUUCAAGUAUUAGGAGUAUCGAACCUCCUAAUACUGUAUAUUCUCCUAAUGAAACUGGUCUCAUUUUGCAUCAAAUAUACUCGAAAAUGAUCAAAAUGGGUAAAUGUGAACUUUUUCAAAAUUGAGCUUUUUGGCUGAAUGAAAGCCAAAUGGGGCGUACGAAUAGUCGAAUAUCACUAAUUAAGCAUCGCUGAUCAGGUCAAUCUCGUUUAUUUUAAUUGAUCGAGCUUUUUUCUACCUGAAAGUUCAAAUUUUUUGAAAAAAAGCUCCAUUUUGGAGGAAACUGUUAGCUUUUUGGCAGAACCAACACCAGAAACGGAUUCUCCACUGGUCAAAACCCCCCCAUUCGUACAAUUCGUAUAGUCUUAAAAGCUCUCCAAAGCUCGCAAAAUUGAUUCAAAAGUUCAAGUAUUAGGAGUAUCGAACCUCCUAAUACUUAUUCUCCUAAUGAAAUUGGUCUCAUUUUGCAUCAAAUAUACUAGAAAAUGAUCAAAAUUGGUAAAUAUGAACUUUUUCAAAAUUGAGCUUUUUGGCUGAAUGAAAGCCAAAUGGGGCGUACGAAUAGUCGAAUAUCACUAAUUAUGCAUCGCUGAUCACGUCAAGUUCAUUUAUUUUGAUCGUUCGAGCUAUUUUGUACCUGAAAGUCAAUUGUUUCGAAAAAAGCUGCAUUUCUCAAGAAACUUUGAGCUUUUUGGUAGUACCAACACCGGAAACGAAUUCUCCGUACCCAAAAACCCCCCUAUUCGUGCUGUUCUUAUAGUCUAAAAAGCUCUCUAAAGCUCAAAAAAUUGAUUCAAAAGUUCAAGUAUUAGGAGUAUCGAACCUCUUAAUACUCUAUAUUCUCCUAAUGAAAUUGGUCUUAUUUUGCAUCAAAUAUACUAAAAAAUGACUAAAAUGAGUAAAUAUGGAUUUUUUCAAAAUUGAGCUUUUGGGCCGAAUCAAAGUCAAAUAACUUGUACGAAUAGUCGAUUAUCAAUGAUUAAGCAUCGCUGAUCACGUCAAGUUCAUUUAUUUUGAUCGUUUGAGCUUUUUUGUGCCUGAAAGUUCAAUUGUUUCGAAAAAAGCUCCAUUUUGGAGGAAACUUUGAGCUUUUUGGCAGUACCAACAUCGGAAACGAAUUCGCCGUACCCAAAAACCCCCCUAUUCGUACUGUUCGUAUAGUCUAAAAAGCUCUGUAAAGCUCGCAAAAUUGAUUCAAAAGUUCAAGUAUUAGGAGUAUCGAACCUCCUAAUACUCUAUAUUCUCCUAAUGAAAUUGGUCUUAUUUAGUAUCAAAUAUAUUCGAAAAUGAUCAAAAUUGGCAAAUAUGAACUUUUUCAAAAUUGAGCUUUUUGGCCGAUUGAAAGCCAAAUAACUUGUACGAAUAGUCGAUUAUCACUAAUUCUGCAUCGCUGAUCACGUCAAUCUCGUUUAUUCUAAUCGAUCGAGCUUUUUUCUACCAGAAAGUUCAAUUUUAUGGAAAAAAAGCUUCAUUUUUGAUGGAACUUUCAGCUUUUUGUCCAAACUAACACCGGAAACGAAUUCUCCGUACACAGAAACCCCCCUAUUCGUACAGUUCGUAUAGUCUGAAAAGCUCUCUAAAGCUCGCAAAAUUGAUCCCAAAGUUCAAGUAUUAGGAGUAUCGAACCUCCUAAUAUCCUAUAAUUCUCCUAAUGAAAUUGGUCUUUUUUAGCAUCAAGUAUACUCAAAAAUGAUCAAAAUUGGAAAAUUUGCGCUUUUUCAAAAUUGAGCUUUUUAGCCAAAUGAAAGCCAAAUAAAGUGUACGAAUAGUCGAAUAUCACUAAUUCUGCAUCGCUGAUCACGUCAAUCUCGUUAAUUUUAAUCGAUCGAGCUUUUUUCUGCAUGAAAGUUCAACUUUUAUGAAAAAAAGUUUCUUUUCGGAAGAAACUUUGAGCUUUUGGGACAAACCAACACCAGAAACGAAUUCGCUGUACCCAAAAACCCCCCUAUUCGUAUAGUUCGUAUGGUCUAGAAAGCUCUCUAAAGCUCACAAAAUCGAUUCAAAAGUUCAAGUAUUAGGAGUAUCGAACCUCCUAAUACUCUAUAUUCUCCUAAUGAAAUUGGUCUUAUUUAGCAUCAAAUAUACUCAAAAAUGACUAAAAUGUGCAAAUAUGGAUUUUUUCAAAAUUGAGCUUUUGGGCCGAACCAAAGUCAAAUAACUUGUACGAAUAGUCGAUUAUCACUGAUUAAGCAUCGCUGAUCACGUCAAGUUCAUUUAUUUUGAUCGUUCGAGCUUUUUUGUACCUGAAAGUUCAAUUGUUUCGAAAAAAAGCUUCAUUUCACAAGAAACUUUGAGCUUUUUCGUAGUACCAACACCGGAAACGAAUUCUCCGUACCCAAAAACCCCCCUAUUCGUACUGUUCGUAUAGUCUACAAAACUCUCUAAAGCUCACAAUAUUGAUUCAAAGGUUCAAGUAUUAGGAGCAUCGAACCUCCUGAUACUGUAUAUUCUCCUAAUGAAAUUGGUCUCAUUUUGCAUCAAAUAUAUACUCGAAAAUGAUCAAAAUUGGUAAAUGUGAACUUUUUCAAAAUUGAGCUUUUUGGCCGAAUGAAAGCCAAAUAGAGUGUACGAACGGUCGAUUAUCACUAAUUAAGCAUCGCUGAUCACGCCAAUCUUGUUUAUUUUAAUCGAUCGAGCUUUUUUCUACCUGAAAGUUCAACUUUUUUGAAAAAAAGCUUCAUUUUUGAUGGAACAUUCAGCUUUUUGGCCAAACCAACACCGGAAACGAAUUCUCCGUACCCAAAAACCCCCCUAUUCGUGCUGUUCGUAUAGUCUAAAAAGCUCUCUAAAGCUCGCAAAAUUGAUUCAAAAGUUCAAGUAUUAGGAGUAUCGAAUCUCCUAAUACUCUAUAUUCUCCUAAUAAAAUUGGUCUUAUUUAGGAUACAAAUACUCGUAUACUCGAAAAUGAUCAAAAUUAGCAAAUAUCAACUUUUUGAAAAUUGAGCUUUUUAGCCGAAUGAAAGUCAAAUAGGGUGUACGAGUAGUCGAUUAUCACUAAUUAAGCAUCGCUGAUCACGUAAAUCUUGUCUAUUUUAAUCGUUCGAGCUUUUUUCCACCUGAAAGUUCAACUUUUUUGAAAAAAAGCUUCAUUCCAGAGGAAUCUUUGAGCUUUUUGGCAGUACCAACAUCGGAAACGAAUUCGCCGUACCCAAAAACCCCCCUAUUCGUACUGUUCGUAUAGUCUAAAAAGCUCUGUAAAGCUCGCAAAAUUGAUUCAAAAGUUCAAGUAUUAGGAGUAUCGAACCUCCUAAUACUCUAUAUUCUCCUAAUGAAAUUGGUCUUAUUAGCAUCAAAUAUACUUGAAAAUGAUCCAAAUUAGCAAAUAUCAACUUUUUGAAAAUUGAGCUUUUUAGCCGAAUGAAAGUCAAAUAGGGUGUACGAAUAGUCGAUUAUUACUAAUGAAGCAUCGCUGAUCACGUAAAUCUUGUCUAUUUUAAUCGUUCGAGCUUUUUUCCACCUGAAAGUUCAACUUUUUUGAAAAAAGCUUCAUUCCAGAGGAAUCUUUGAGCUUUUUGGCAGUACCUACCAACAUCGGAAACGAAUUCGCCGUACCCAAAAACCUCUCUAUUCGUACAAUUCGUAUAGUCUAAAAAGCUCUCUAAAGCUCGCAAAAUUUAUUCAAAAGUUCAAGUAUUAGGAGUAUCGAAAGCUUUUUAGCCAAGUGAUAGCAAAGUAGUGUGUACGAAUAGUCGAUUACCAUGAAACUUCAUUCUGGCGAAAAAAAUUAAAAUAUUAUGCAAUUUGAUAAUUGAAUUGUAGCCAGGCAUUUUACUAUAUGUAUUUCAGUUUUUAUAAGCUAAUGUUUUAUGCAUCCAAUUUAUGUAUCCUGAAUAUCGUACAUAAUAUAGGUAAUAAAAGUAGGUAACAUAGGUAGGUACUACAUACAUAUAAAUGCUUCAUUAUGUAAGUAUUAUGAAAAUACAAUCAUUGACUCUUAUUCUUUAAUUUGAUAGUUAUUUGUUUAUCAAUUACGUUCUCUUCGACUUCAUUUCGCACCGAUAAAAUCCAAUCAAUAUGAGUAGCCAAAUCAAUAAACAAUGAUAAAUCUCCAUGCAACGGAAAUUGGCUAAGGAUACCUCGAAUAUAGUAUGCAGGUCCUUCACGGAACAUCAAACCUGUCCCGCUAUUGCUAGGGGGUUCGCCAGCACCUCCAGAAAUAAUACGUCCUAGAAUGAUAAUCAUAACACAACAAAAAUUAGCACAUAUCUCGAAUAGGUAAUAUGUAGUACAUAAAUCCAUUUCAAAUGCUUCUUAAAACACAAUCAAUUAGUAUACCAUCGUUUAUCCUGGCGCAGAAUUUAUCCGAAGUAAUGAAGGGGUACAAUUCACGCGAGGUUGAGUUAAAACAUCUUGAACGACUGAUGAAGACAAAAGUAUCCGUUUGUAAAGCUACACGACCUUCGUACCAGCCCACAGUCUGGAAAAAUAUCGCAAAUCAUGAUAAUUAUGACCAAUGAUAUUUUUCAAUCGUACAGUACCUAGCCUACUACAUAUGACUACAAAAAAUACCUUACUUUGCCAAUUGUUUCUUCAGGAGGAUGAAACAGAUCAGUAUAGGUCCAAUCAACACACGCUGGUAGAACGGUUAAACUUGUGUUUAUUUUUGCGGUUAGAAUCAAAAUGGCGAUAUCGGAUGCGAAAUAAUUAGCUGAUCCUCGAUACCCUCGGUUCGAGAAACGGAUUUCUUUAAUCUGUAAACAAAUACAGUAUGUACAUAAGUAAAUGAUACUAGAUAUAAGUAUUCGAGUAGGUAUUUGAGUUCCUAUAAAUAGAUUUUAAUCCUUAUUAAACAUGUUAAAGAAUAGUAAGGCAAGAAGAUAUUCAGUAGGUAUUAUUUGUAAAAAAAAUAAAAAGAUCACCUUGUAGCUUCGUUGAUCGCUGUUAUCUAUUUCAGAAUAUUUAGUACUAGCUUUGCUAACAACGAUGUCGUAAUUACUAGGAUCCAGUUUUCUAUCAUUGGCUUGAUCGUAGAAACAAUAUGCAGCUGAAAUCAAUUAUUACUUAUGUACAUCAAAAAAUGAAGCUCAAAGUCAAAAAUAUUAGGUAACGAGUGUAACUCGAUCAUGCAAUUAUUGAAAAGUAAUAAAAUAACUAAUCCAGUAUGAAAAUACCAACCUGAUAUGACUAGACGAGGAGAUAUAAUUGUACCUCCACAUAUCAGCACAUUUCUUUUGAUAUCAUAAAUAGCCACGUGCCAUGGAGAAUCAAGGUAUCGUUCCGGUGUAGAUCGUUUGUAGACUAACUUAUUAAAUGAAAUAUUAAAUGGACGUCCACAUUCUGUAACAAAUAAUAAAAUCAGUUGUAAAAUACAUAUUAUAAAAUAAAAUCGUAACAAUAAAAUAUCAUAAGAGUACCUAUUGAAAUUAUGAGCAUUAAAUAAUGAACGAAGGUACACAGAUUAGGCUAACUCGAAGAUAUAUAGGUACCUGGAAUGCAAGAGAAUAAUGUGUGAUCCCAUUUUCCAUCUUCUAGGCAAGUGAUCUCUUUAUAAACACCGCUGCUGAAAUCUCUAUUCGUGUGCAAUGGUUUACAUAUUGGUCGAAUUUUUGUGCCAGGGAAUAAAUUACCUUCGCAAUCGACCGCGUUUCCUUUAUAAAAACAAGCUAGAUCAACGUUGACUGGAGUCAGCUUAUCACAAAUUUCUGUUAAAAAAAAAAAAAAAAAAAAAAAAAAAAAAAACACACAUAAA